UACGGAGGUGCAAGCGUUACUCGGAAUCACUGGGCGUAAAGAGCGUGUAGGCGGAUAGAUAAGUCAGAAGUGAAAUCCAAUAGCUUAACUAUUGAACUGCUUUUGAAACUGUCUAUCUAGAGUAUGGGAGAGGUAGAUGGAAUUUUCUGGUGUAGGGGGUAAAAUCCGUAGAGACCAGAAGGAAUACCGAUUGCGAAGGCGAUCUACUGGAACAUAAACUGAACGCUGAGACGCGAAAAGCGUGGGGAGCAAACAGG
rnacentral:rRNA from 1 species